rnacentral:tmRNA from 1 species
GGGCCGUCGUCGGCGAAAGCCCGGCUGCCGGCGAACUCCCGCAACGGGUCGUGGUAGAAGUACCGACCCAGGUCGCCGGUCUCCAGCAGGUGCAUGUCGACGAGGGACUCCAGCAGCACCGCGGUGUCGCCGAGCGACAAAUCCAGCAGGGCCGCCGCGGCCCCGAGUGAGACAUCCGGGCGGUCCGUCACGGAGAGCAGCCGGAACGCCCGUGCCUGCUCGGGUGACAACUGCUCCAUCACCGACGCGUACGGCUGCUCGAUGGCCCGGCACUCCGCCGGGAGCACGGGCGAGCCGGGGCCGGGCCUGGUGAUCCGCCGCUUCGCCUCGGCGAUGGUCCA